rnacentral:rRNA from 1 species
GGAAACAGGUUAAUAUUCCUGUACUUGGUGUUACUGCGAAGGGGGGACGGAGAAGGCUAGGCUAGCCGGGCGACGGUUGUCCCGGUUUAAGCGUGUAGGGGGUGUGACCUGGUAAAUCCGGUUGCAUACUAACCCUGAGGCGUGAUGACGAUGCACUACGGUGCAGAAGUAGUUGAUGCCCUGCUUCCAGGAAAAUCCUCUAAGCUCCAGGUAACAUUAAAUCGUACCCCAAACCGACACAGGUGGUCAGGUAGAGA